GCAGGACUCGGCGGGCAAGGCAGGCAGGGAGGGCAGGGCAGGGCACUGAGAGCAGCGGCGGGCUCUGUCCCUGCGCUGCAUCCCGUGCCUGGGUCACCAUCGGUGACAGGGAGGAAGGACAUUGCUCUGUCUUGCCUGGGGAAAGGAUGAAAAGGGGGCAUUAGAAAACAUUCAUUUGGUCUCCUUUUCAGCAGACUGGCUCUUUUUAUCUCACCAGGUCUGCCUGUCUUUGGCAGAGUUGGCACAUUUCUCAUGAUUUGGAGUCAGCUACAGCAGCAGGAAGGGGCAGCAAUUUUGUCUGCAUUGUCAUCCAAGCUAAAGUGCUGGCCCAUGGGUGGAUGUUGCUUUACCCAAGGAAUACAGAUAAACACGAAUAGAUUCUAGACAAAACAAGGGAUUCAGGGUACUUGCGGUUCAGUUGUUUUGGUUUAACUAUCAGCUUGUCUACAGGAACAAAUCAGCUGUGAAUACUAAAAGUUCUUAGCAGAGACUUUUUUUCUGGGCCUGUGCAAUGCUCUAAAUUUAUUUUUGUCCCCUACCACAAUAUUUCCUGUAAGUUGACCAGACUGCAUCACAGAAACUCCAGGCAGAAAAUUGAUGAACAUCAAAAAUCCAUGGCUAAAGCCUCUCCCUCAGCUCUGGAGCCACCACACAAGCUGUUGAUACAGCCUUUUGUAAGGAAGGGGCAUGGUACCACCACAGUGAUGUUUCCAUAACCAAGGUGCAGAUGUGAGAUGAAUGGCCAAGAUGAAGGCCAAGAUGAAGGAGUGCCUCAAGAGUAAAGUAAACUGCAAAUCACCAGGAAAAGAAAGAAAAAAUACCCAGUACUAAAAACAUUGCAAGUGCCUGAGGCGUAAGUCAGAGCAAGCCUCCAUUAUCACUGCAGACACUUGGCAGCUUUGCUCAUCAGGCUUCCUAGGAUCUGACUGAGUGACCUUGUUUGGUGGGAAGGCACAGAUGGAGUCUGGCAGUAAAUCUUGUUCAUGUAGCAAGUAUUCCUGCUGCUGGAUGAGGUUUGCACCUCGUACGAGCGUUUCUAGCCCCAGUAAACAACCACUGUUCCCUCCUCCCACUGUCAGCCCCUUAUUUCAUGCCACCAGGUACUCCAGCACUUCUUUUUACUGUCAGUUACCAAAAAUAAAGAGAACAUCUCGCUGUGAGUGUAGGAUGAUCUUUCUCUCAAAGGCAGUCAUGCACCUCACUUCUAGAGAAGCUGAUGUUUGCUUUUAAAUUUGGUUGUGUUACCUGAUAGACCCUAAGGCUUUCUUCUGCUGUGAGUCUGUUCCUGAGCUUGAGAAAUAAUUCUAUGAUAGGAAUGCAGUUUUUUACUAAAGUCAUACUCACACAGUUUACAAUACAAUAUAAAUAACUAAUAUAUAAGUAAUAAAUAAAAGGUUUAUCUAUCAGCCAAUUUUAAAUGGUCUAAAAUUUCAGGAUGUAGCCUAUUUAGUUUCAGUGAGAAAAUAAAAAGCUGCUUUUAAAGUUCAUUCAGCUUCUAAAGGGCAAUGCUAAAAAUGUGACACCACCUUGGUUCAGUGAAUGCCUUUGGGUAAAAGAAGAGGGAUACAAGAGUAACUGAAAUAUUUAAGUAAAAUUCAGUGUUGUGACCCUGAACACCAGGACAAAAUUCACAUUGUAUAAGCCAUAUUUCUAAGUGCAAUAAACCAUAUCUAUAAGUGAUAUUUUCUAAGUGUUUUGCACUGCUGAAGUACAGUGGCAAAGCUGAGAGUGGUUAGGGACUCCCAUUUUUCAGUUCUGCCUUCAGAUUUAUUUACUAAGUUCCCCAUCCAAAGGCAGAUGUGAAGACAUCAUUCCAAAGCAACAGCUUUGCAUAUUUUGAAAUGAUAUUCCAUCCUGCUUUGCAGAUGAAAGAAUCAAGCUUGACAUCAGAAACCAGGAUGGAUUUCUAGUGUCUCUUCCCUGACCACUUGGUUCUACAGGCUAGUUCAGGGCUCCCGCACAAAGAAUUCUGAGCCUGACUCCAAGGAAAAGCAGCUUUCUGCUGCCUGUGCCUGUCCCUGCAGGAGGGGCUGCUGCAGGGUGCUCUGCAGCACCUGGUGACUUGGAUUGCUGAGAAGGAAGGAAGGGAACAGACAGAAGCCACCACAUGGCUUUUACUGCUGCCUUUGCACCCCUCAUCCCUCUUCUAAAAGCCAGCAAGGCUCUGCAAUGGAAAGCCAGCACUGCUCACAGCCCUACUGAGGCUUAUAGUGCCUGCUUGUUUGUUUUUAAACACGAUAAUUUAUCUUAUCCCAUGGGUGUUUCUGCCAAGUUCUUGUUGCUUCCAAGGUUCCAACACUUUAUUAUUUAAAACUCCUCUGUGCUGCUUGCUCCUGUAGGGAUUAUGAAAAGAAAUUAAAUUUAGGGCACCAAAGAUCAUCACAGGCAGAGGAAUAAAACCUCCCUGCAAGCUUAAUUAAGACAAGAAGAUGGGCUGAUAACAGAUAAUAUUUUGCUAACUAGUCACCAAAGGUAGGAGAAGGUAGGCCUGCAGAAAAGGACACACUAUUACUAUUAAAAAAUGCAUAAUAUUACAAUAUAAUAAUUAUAUUAUAUUAUAUUAUAUUAUAUUAUAUUAUAUUAUAUACUAUUAUUAUUAAAAUCUUUAAGUUGCAUAGAAGGUGAUAUCCAGGUACUGAUACAACAGGAAUGGGAAAGGCUUCUCAGGGUCUGAUGGGAAAGAAAUGAGCAGAGUGUGUUAAACAGACAAAUGGGACAGAGGAAGAUGUUCUAGGCAGAAAUAUGCUGGAAAUAUUUUGAAGCAGAGUCCUGGCAAAGUGUUUUCAACGUUGUUGUUAAUAAGGCUUGAAUAACACUGGUGUAUCUUGACCUUGGCUUCGGGCUUUCAAGCAAGUGAAAUUAUGUGCUGGUAUGACCCAUGACUUCAGAGAGGUGUCCCUUUCCUGUGCCUGUGCUAGGGGUCUAAAUAGUCACCUAAUCUAUGUUGCUUGCUCCUUUGAAACGACUCAGUAGUGUAAGAGAUAACUACAUCUGUUUUCAGACAAUAAAACUUUAUAUAAUUCCUUGGGAAAAAUCCUCCCUCAGUGUGUGCAUGUAGAUAAUCUGCACACUUCACAGGAAAUAUAUGCUGGUCAGCAUAAGUUCUGUAAAUUUAAUAAUAAUAAUUAAAAAUGUAGGCAAAUAUAUUUUAGCUUUGCCUUUUCCUCAGUGAGGACUAAUUGGGAUUUGCAUGUUAUGAAGACUUUUUAAAGAUGUGAGCUGAUAUUUGUGCCAAUUUUGCACGCUGGAUUUCACAAUCAGAUUGAUUCUUUCUGAGAUUGGUAGGUCAGGAUUGUCAAGCCCUUCCUUCCACUUGUCCUUGUUCACUGGAGCUAUUUUCUUGUGAGAGUGGCUCUGUAUUGCAGGGAUCAGAGCAUUCCUUGCACUGCACUACCAUUUCUGCAGGUGCCUGCAGCAAUGAAGGAGCAAGCCUUGGCAAUUCUCCCUGGUAAGAGUCUGUUCUCAUGGGUAAAUGACACAGCCAUGGAAGUGGAGCCUCAGAUUGCUCCUGCAUCUCUGCAGACACACUUGCAGAGAAAAUAUUCUGGUCCUAGGAAAACACCAUUCCCUUCAGCUGACAGGCUCUGCAAUGAAAGCCUGGGGGAGCUGCAAGAAGUGAAAUUCAGAUUGCCUUCAUUUUAUCUAAAUAUUUAUCAAAAUAAAACUACUUUUUUUUUCCCCUGCAGAAAAUUCAUGUUUCCAUUGCUAGUUGAUUUUACCCAAUUCAUCCUAAACCAUGCAGAUUUUUUUGGUGAGGUGUUGUUUUUCGUUACAUGCAAAUGCAAUUUCCCCUGAAUAAAAAUUCUCCAUUUGUACUGUACUAUUAUUGUUGGGUUUUUUACCUAACUUGCUAAAUUUAUAAAUGGAAACCUUCAGCAAUGAAUAAACUAUUCUCAGACAAAAAAAAAUACCUAAUGCAAGUGCUGUACUUUUUAUCUCUAUGUUGAGUUUCUCUAUUGAGCUAUACUUGACAAAUACUUGAAUUACUGAGAUGUUGGUUUUUCAAACACCAAAACAAAUUUGCCACUGAUUAUGGCCACCUGGAAAUGUCCUGGAGAAACAUUUUGCUUCACAAGGCUGGAUUUGCUGCUAACAGUACAAACUUAUUUCCUGUUUAUUUGUUGAAAUAACUGUGCUUAUUUCUGUAAAUUUGGAUUAGGACUAGUUUAUUUCACAUCACUAAUGGGUAGCUCACAAAAUAGCCAUUAAAAGUUUUCAGAUUAUUAAAAAUACUGAAGGGGAAAUAAAAAUUUAUCACUACAUCAUUAAUUUAACCAUAAUUCUUUACCUUCCUAUAGGCCAAUGUCAACACCUUUAAAGCAAGCUCUGAAGGCAAAGUCAAUGAGUUGUGUUUUGGAAGGUUUCUGAUUUAAUUUAAAUCCAUGCAAAUCCAGUGUAACACCAUUCAAGUGUAUCAAUAAUUGAAAAAACGUUCCACUGAAAUUAGCUUUAUAUGUGGGGGAAAUACUUUUUUUUUUUUUUUUACAAAACUAGUCAUCCUUUAAAAAAGCCCAGCCAAGAAGAACAAUGGUCUGAUUUUCAUGGGAAAUUUUAACAAAAAGUGAUGUAAUAUUACUUCUCUGUAUUCUCAUAUGAUAUAUAAAAUAAUCCUACAGGACUCUGGAGCUUUUUAAGGACUGGCAACACCUCCAAUGUCCUUGAUAUGUGUCAUGGCAUGGAUUAUUGCUCAAAUCAAUGCAUAGCAAUUUCCAGUCAAGGGAAACAACUGUCCAUUGGUUUGCUCUGAUACAUUUUCAGAGUAUCCCUACAGCCUCCCAUGGAUGUGCAGCUGCUCAGUUACAGCUUAAUUGCAUGACCCCGUAGGCUGACACCCAAGGAGUGCUCGUGGUAGGUGGUGACAUUCAGAACAAAGCAAAAAAGCAAAUACAGUGAAGACUGCAGCUCACACAGGAAGGGAAAGCAGACCAUGUGAAAAGAAAGAUGUCAUUCUGUCAUACAGUUGUCACACAUGUUCUUGUUUACAAAUCUCUAGGGUGUGUGUGUGGCCCUAAAAUGCCCACUCUGCCCAUCAACUUAUCUGAAGACACACAAAAACACUGUUCGUUUCUUAUCUACAGGAGAAAGAAUAAACCAGAAGAGAAGAAAACAACCAGUAUCUUUCUCACCAAAGCUCCCGGAGAAUCUCCUUGUUAAAACCAAGCAAACACCUUUCAGCAAGGCUAGUGUGCUAGACAGCAUCACCAGCCACUGGGGAAAUUGGAAGGCACCUUCAAUCUUCUAGAUAUUCCAGAUUUGGGAAUAUUUACUGCAACAGAAACUGGCCAAAAGCAGCAAUUUUAUGGCAGGUAUUCAGACCUCACCAUACGCUACCAAAUACACCUGGUCCAGGGAAUAAUCCUUUUUGUCACACAUAAUUGCAUUGUGGAGUUACAGGAAAUUGGUUGGACAGAGAAUUUCUACCCAGCUCCCAGCUCUGUCUCCUAUGAUGCUUCAAAUCAGGUUUAAUUAUUCCUUUUUUUUUUUUUUCCUGGCAGGAUGUUGUGAUGGUUUUAUGCCAAAAGGUUUGAAGAAAACUCACUUUUAAUGCAGCAUUUAUGGCAUGGCUUUUAGAUAUUUUACUGCUUACUUGAAACAAUAUUUGGACAUUUUGUUAUCCACUUUGGAAAACUAUUUUAUAUACAUUUCACACUACAUCCAUCUUAAGGAAUGUCUUAAAGAAAUUACUGUAACUUAAGGAGCCAACAAACAAUAGAUAUAAAAAUGAUGUGUGCAUAAAUAAGACAAUGGAGAGCUUAGAAAAUAAUUCCAUCAGUCUAUAUCAUCUUUUUCCAGACUAAUGUUUUAAAAGAGCAGCACCUUUUUCUUUGUGACAAGGCUUUUCUCCGUGCCUAAUAAGAUUCUUCUAUGUCCUAGGAGUAACCCAUGCAAUUUGAAGAAACAGGUGAAAGACAAAAAGAUAAUAUAAUGAAAGUCAUAGACUGACAGGGAAAGAAAGAGUCUGUAAAGCAAAGUUGUCAUAUCACCAUAAUUUCUGUCACUGAUCUAAUACAGAACAUGGUUCUUCAAAAUAUUCACCACAUUUUCAGUACAUGAGCCAAUCCUUCUUUCUUAGGAAAUGUGUUUAUUGCUUGUGUAGUUACUAAGAUUCAAGCACACACUUCAGAUGCUUUCCUAAGUGAGAUUACAGUAGGAAACAGUAGAUUCUAGAGAUCUUGCUUCAAGUGUUUCCACUUCUGAUUAUACCUCCACUCCCUCUCUUAAGAAACCAUUAUUAUUCAGUAAUAAAUUCCUCCAGAGAUUUCUUGGAGGGUUUUUUAAGGAUAAAUGCUAUAGAAGGGCAGAUGUGUGCCAUGUCAGCUGGCUGUAAAAGCAUUGCUGCCAGGAACUGAAGUUUAGAACAAGAACUGCAUCCUCACAUAUCACAGGAGAAGACAACGUUUUUGGUAUCUGGGCAAGUUCAUUUUAAAACUGAGGAAGCUGUUUAUGUAAAAAGCACUAAAAUACUAUAAGUGACCACAAAACACACUUUCUCAAAUUAAACAUUCUGAGCUAGCUUCAGAUUUAAACAAAAUUUCCAACUAUUGCUCUAUGGAAUAUGACAAACUCAGUGGUGCUGACCACUUCCAGUCACCUAAGUGGUGUGGGAAAAACAGAAGGGAUCAGGAUUUCUUUUUCCAGGUGUCACCCCACACCCUAACUUUGCAAACUCUUCAAACUUUUUAAAAUAGAAAUGAUAAUGUGUCUUAUCUAUCUCCUUCUCAUUCUGCAGCUAAACCAGUUUGAUGAUCUUACAUGUUUUGGCUCUUUUCUCCUUGCUUGCAGUGUGGAAGAAUGGGGAUAUGUGGCUUCUUUGGGGCAUGGAAAGAGCUGACAGAAAUGUUUCCUCUCCAGCUUGACAUUAUCCCUAGGAAUAUUCUGUUCCACAUCACCUGAGGGACAAGCUGAGUGUCUCUGAGCCCCCAGGGUUUCUGUCUCCUAUCAAGCACUGAGAGCACAGCUGAAAUUCUGGAGCACAGGCAGCCCCAGACACCCCCACACUGCAGUUUGAGUGCUGCUGCACUUUCCUUGGGCAGGAUUUGGUACCACAAGAGUGCAGAGUCUGGAAGAGAGACCUGAAGUGCUCACAGCAGGCUGCAUUGCUAAACAGCCAUUCACAUGCCACGAGCCACUGUCUUGUGUUUCCAGUUAGCUGAAAUUACAAUUCCUGUGCCUGGAACACAAAGGUCUUCAGCACAAGGACAGCAGAACAAUCUCACCAUGUUCUGGUGGGCUUUCCACAAACCACUUGGCAGUAGCUUUAUUCCUUCCUGUGCAAAUGUUCAGGUUAACCUCAGCAAGCAUGAGCUUUGAAUACCUGCUCUGGGAGUCCAUACUACCCAUGGAGAAAAGGAUUUCUAGUUAAAAUUGCACUGUGGGCAGGACACACUCGAUUCCUCUCCCUCUGUGCAUGGGCUAGAGGAGAUGUGGUUUGAACACUUCCAAUUCUGGAAACUUACUUAGGGUCCUCAGUCAGAAAUCAUAAAGCCAGUCCUGAAUGCUGCUAUUGACAAUAAAAUAAAAUAAAAUAAAAUAAAAUAAAAUAAAAUAAAAUAAAAUAAAAUAAAAUAAAAUAAAAUAAAAUAAAAUAAAAUAAAAUAAAAUAAAAUAAAAUAAAAUAAAAUAAAAUAAAAUAAAAUAAAAAUCAGGCUGCAUGUACGUGCUGAAACGAAAGUUUGCAGUUCUGUCCAGUGACAGAGAACCAUGAGAACUCUUCUAUCAGUUGCAUUUGGACAAAGCAGAGGAACACUCCUUCCUAGUGAUAGAGAAGACAUUUGUAGCCUCCAUCUGCUGCUGAACACACCAGCCAGGCUUUCAGCCUUUUGCUCUCUGUAGGGAGCUGGUACAAGUCAGUCACCUUGGACUGAGACAGAUCAAAGGUCUCCAAGUCUGGAAUCCUUUCCAGCACCCCUCAGGGACCAGCACUGAGCCAGCCAGGAGUUAACACACAGUGCUUCCAGCAUGUUUGCCAUUCCAGGAAUCCCUUUUCUUUUGCAUGAACACCCAUAAACAUCCACACCUGUACAGUCUGGCUCUGACAUACCCAUUCAGCACUCUGCCUCGUGUUUCCCCAGCCUCUCCCUCAGCUUUUGUGGGCAAAGCACCCUGUGCACCCAGGCGUUCUGCAGAGCCACACUCUGAGCCUGCUGAGCCUGUCAAAACAACUCUGUUGUUGUGGUAGCCAAGAAUAUAGGGUUUUUUCUCCACUGGGAAAGUCUCAGACACACGAGGUGGUUUCUGAGUUUUAAAUUGUACUGGACACAGGAGGUUUUACAGAGGGUCACCCACUACUGAUUAAAGAGAACAGCUUGCCUUCUGUGCUAUAAUUCAAUCCAUUGUUCCUGUACCUCCACUUGCUAGGCCUGUUAUUACCUUUUUCCCAACCCUUUUCUACAACAUCCUUCUCUCUACAGAUCUAAUUCAACUACUUUUGCUAAUGCCAUUAUAUGAUUUUCUUCUGAAUAGGGAAAAUGUUUUGAUUAAAAACCUUGACAUUAUGUUCAGGAUAAUCUACCAACCAGUUUCUCAGAUGACAGCUGAUAGAAGGCAGCAUGUAUCUAAAGAGUUUACAAUCAUAUCCCUGUGUUAUCUUAAUUAAUGCAGUAAGACCUGUGCAUAGAAUUCACUCUCUUCAUAAUAUAUUGACAGCUGACCUCAUUCCUCCAUGGCAUUUUUAAAAUGCAUUUAUUGUGCUGCAGUGUGAAAACUUAUAGAGAAACCCUCUAUUACAGAGGAAAUUCACAUAUUGUAAUAUUUACUUAUAAUAAUUAGUCUCAAGGUGUUCUGAAAGAUACAACCAAAGGAAUAGAAUGAGAGUCCAUGAAGACAACAAUUGAGUGUGCUGCAAAACAUAUGCUUGUGGUAUUUAUCAUGCUUUUCAUGCAUGAAAGGGAAAUAAAGGCCUUCUACAUCAA